GACGAACGCUGGCGGCGUGCUUAACACAUGCAAGUCGAACGCUGAAGCCCUGGCUUUUGUUGGGUUGGAUGAGUGGCGAACGGGUGAGUAACACGUGAGUAACCUGCCCUCUUCUUUGGGAUAACGCCCGGAAACGGGUGCUAAUACUGGAUAUUCACUGAUCUUCGCAUGGGGGUUGGUGGAAAGGUUUGUUCUGGUGGGGGAUGGGCUCGCGGCCUAUCAGCUUGUUGGUGGGGUGAUGGCCUACCAAGGCUUUGACGGGUAGCCGGCCUGAGAGGGUGACCGGGCACAUUGGGACUGGGAUACGGCCCAGACUCCUACGGGAGGCAGCAGUGGGGAAUAUUGCACAAUGGGCGAAAGCCUGAUGCAGCGACGCCGCGUGAGGGAUGGAGGCCUUCGGGUUGUAAACCUCUUUCGCUCAUGGUCAAGCCGCAACUGUGGGUUGUGGUGAGGGUAGUGGGUAAAGAAGCGCCGGCUAACUACGUG
rnacentral:rRNA from 1 species